CUAAUGAGCAGACUUCCCUCGCUUGAGUUUCUGAAGAAUGUUCCAUAUCGCGCUAAGCUCAUCACUGCUGAUUAUGACAGGCGUGCAGCGGCACACAUUGACAUAGACCACUGUUGCAAUCAACGACACAGUCGCUAUCCAAGUAGCAUUAUAGAGCUGUCAUGCAACGCAACAACUGUGCUAUCUGCCAUCGCACAUCAACGAAGAAGUGCAGCCGCCCACAUUCCACCUCACGUCUGUCCGACCAGCUGCAAUCCUCGAGGACGCCCCACUGUACCACGAUUUCACUACGAUGUUUGACAAGAAGGAGCAGUGCGCGAGAUAGGCUAAUGAGCAGACUUCCCUCGCUCGAGUUUCGGAAGAAUGUUCCAUAUCGCGCUAAGCUGACCACUGCUGACCAUGACAGGCGUGCAUUGGACUGGUACAGGUUGGAACUGAACAUUGAAUAUGCUGGUGGU